rnacentral:tRNA from 1 species
GCCUUCGUGGUGUAGUGGUCAGCACGCUCGAUGUAUAAUUCGAGAGGUCCGUGGUUCGAGUCCCGGCGAAGGCG